GAAUGCUGACAUAAGUAACGAUAAAGCGGGUGAAAAGCCCGCUCGCCGGAAGACCAAGGGUUCCUGUCCAACGUUAAUCGGGGCAGGGUGAGUCGACCCCUAAGGCGAGGCCGAAAGGCGUAGUCGAUGGGAAACGGGUUAAUAUUCCCGUACUUGGUGUUACUGCGAAGGGGGGACGGAGAAGGCUAUGUUGGCCGGGCGACGGUUGUCCCGGUUUAAGCGUGUAGGUGUGUGUUCCAGGUAAAUCCGGUUCACUUUAACACUGAGGCGUGACGACGAGGCACUACGGUGCUGAAGCAACAAAUGCCCUGCUUCCAGGAAAAGCCUCUAAGCAUCAGGUAACAUCAAAUCGUACCCCAAACCGACACAGGUGGUCAGGUAGAGAAUACCAAGGCGCUUGAGAGAACUCGGGUGAAGGAACUAGGCAAAAUGGUGCCGUAACUUCGGGAGAAGGCACGCUGACACGUAGGUGAAGUGAUUUACUCAUGGAGCUGAAGUCAGUCGAAGAUACCAGCUGGCUGCAACUGUUUAUUAAAAACACAGCACUGUGCAAACACGAAAGUGGACGUAUACGGUGUGACGCCUGCCCGGUGCCGGAAGGUUAAUUGAUGGGGUCAGCGCAAGCGAAGCUCCUGAUCGAAGCCCCGGUAAACGGCGGCCGUAACUAUAACGGUCCUAAGGUAGCGAAAUUCCUUGUCGGGUAAGUUCCGACCUGCACGAAUGGCGUAAUGAUGGCCAGGCUGUCUCCACCCGAGACUCAGUGAAAUUGAACUCGCUGUGAAGAUGCAGUGUACCCGCGGCAAGACGGAAAGACCCCGUGAACCUUUACUAUAGCUUGACACUGAACAUUGAGCCUUGAUGUGUAGGAUAGGUGGGAGGCUUUGAAGUGUGGACGCCAGUCUGCAUGGAGCCGACCUUGAAAUACCACCCUUUAAUGUUUGAUGUUCUAACGUGGACCCGUGAUCCGGGUUGCGGACAGUGUCUGGUGGGUAGUUUGACUGGGGCGGUCUCCUCCUAAAGAGUAACGGAGGAGCACGAAGGUUGGCUAAUCCUGGUCGGACAUCAGGAGGUUAGUGCAAUGGCAUAAGCCAGCUUGACUGCGAGCGUGACGGCGCGAGCAGGUGCGAAAGCAGGUCAUAGUGAUCCGGUGGUUCUGAAUGGAAGGGCCAUCGCUCAACGGAUAAAAGGUACUCCGGGGAUAACAGGCUGAUACCGCCCAAGAGUUCAUAUCGACGGCGGUGUUUGGCACCUCGAUGUCGGCUCAUCACAUCCUGGGGCUGAAGUAGGUCCCAAGGGUAUGGCUGUUCGCCAUUUAAAGUGGUACGCGAGCUGGGUUUAGAACGUCGUGAGACAGUUCGGUCCCUAUCUGCCGUGGGCGCUGGAGAACUGAGGGGGGCUGCUCCUAGUACGAGAGGACCGGAGUGGACGCAUCACUGGUGUUCGGGUUGUCAUGCCAAUGGCACUGCCCGGUAGCUAAAUGCGGAAGAGAUAAGUGCUGAAAGCAUCUAAGCACGAAACUUGCCCCGAGAUGAGUUCUCCCUGAGACUUAAAGUCUCCUGAAGGAACGUUGAAGACGACGACGUUGAUAGGCCGGGUGUGUAAGCGCAGCGAUGCGUUGAGCUAACCGGUACUAAUGAACCGUGAGGCUUAACCUUACAACGCCGAAG
rnacentral:rRNA from 1 species